GAUGAAGAACGUAGCGAAAUGCGAUAAGUAAUGUGAAUUGCAGAAUUCAGUGAAUCAUCGAAUCUUUGAACGCACAUUGCGCCCGCCAGUAUUCUGGCGGGCAUGCCUGUCUGAGCCUCAUUUCAACCCUCAUGCCCCUAGGGCGUGGUGUUGGGGAUCGGCCAAAGCCCGCGAGGGACGGCCGGCCCCUAAAUCUAGUGGCGGACCCGUCGUGGCCUCCUCUGCGAAGUAGUGAUAUUCCGCAUCGGAGAGCGAUGAGCCCCUGCCGUUAAACCCCCAACUUUCCAAGGUUGACCUCAGAUCAGGUAGGAAUACCCGCUGAACUUAAGCAUAUCAAUAAGCGGAGGA
rnacentral:misc_RNA from 1 species